GCAAAGGUAGCAUAAUCAUUUGCCCUUUAAUUGGGGGCUUGCAUGAAUGGAACAACUUUACUUCACUGUCUCACACCUACCAACGGAAAUUAAUAUUCAUGUGAAGAAGCAUGAAUCCUAAUGAAGGGCCAAAAGACCCUAUAGAGCUUCACAAGGAAAAAAGAAUUUACACUUUUUACCUGUUUCAUUGGGGCGAUGAUAGAAGAUAAACUUCUAGCUACUAACUUUACUCCAAGUUAAUUCUUAACCCUUCCUCUAGACCAAGGAAAAGCUACCUUAGGGAUAACAGUCUAAUCCUUCUUAAUAGUCCACAUAUACAGAAGGGUUUGGCAC
rnacentral:rRNA from 1 species